rnacentral:rRNA from 1 species
GUAAAGUACUUUCAGCAGUGAGGAAGGUGGGUAUGUUAAUAGCAUAUUCAUUUGACGUUAGCUGCAGAAGAAGCACCGGCUAACUCCGUGCCAGCAGCCGCGGUAAUACGGAGGGUGCGAGCGUUAAUCGGUAAUUACGUGGGACGUAAAGCGCAUGCAGGUGGUUUGUUAAGUCAGAUUGUAGAAACGGCCCGGGGCUACAACCGUACGGUAAUUGCUAUUUAGAAACUGGACAAACUAGAGUACUGUAGAGGGGGUAGAAUUUCAGGUGUAGCGGUGAAAUGCGUAGAGAUCUGAAGGAAUACCGGUGGCGAAGGCGGCCCCCUGGACAGAUACUGACACUCAGAUGCGAAAGCGUGGGGAGCAAACAGGAUUAGAUACCCUGGUAG